rnacentral:rRNA from 1 species
GACAGAGGGUGCAAACGUUGUUCGGAAUUACUGGGCGUAAAGCGUGUGUAGGCGGCCAUGUAAGUCGGAUGUGAAAGCCCCGGGCUUAACCCGGGAAGUGCAUUCGAUACUGCGUGGCUUGAGUAUCGGAGAGGUUGGUGGAAUUCUCGGUGUAGAGGUGAAAUUCGUAGAUAUCGAGAGGAACACCGGUGGCGAAGGCGGCCAACUGGACCAAUACUGACGCUCAGGUGCGAAAGCGUGGGGAGCAAACAGG